CGUAGGAGGCAAGCGUUAUCCGGAUUCACUGGGCGUAAAGCGCGUGCAGGUGGCGCGGUAAGUUAGGCGUGAAAUCUCCCGGCUCAACUGGGAGAGGUCGUCUAAUACUACCGUGCUUGAGAGCAGAAGAGGAGGAUGGAAUUCCCGGUGUAGUGGUGAAAUGCGUAGAUAUCGGGAGGAACACCAGUGGCGAAGGCGAUCUUCUGGUCUGUUUCUGACACUCAGACGCGACAGCUAGGGUAGUAAACGGGAUUAGAGACCCCGGUAAUCCUAGCCGUAAACGAUGUGAACUUGGCGUUGGUGGGUUAAACUCCAUCAGUGCCGUAGCAAACGCGAUAAGUUCACCGCCUGGGGACUACGGCCGCAAGGUUA
rnacentral:rRNA from 1 species